AGGCAGCAGUGGGUCCUUUGGGAGGCAGCAGUGGGGAAUCUUCCGCAAUGGGCGAAAGCCUGACGGAGCAACGCCGCGUGAGUGACGAAGGCCUUUGGGUUGUAAAACUCUGUCUUCAGGGAAGAAAAAAAUGACGGUACCUGAGGAGGAAGCCCCGGCUAACUACGUGCCAGCAGCCGCGGUAAAACGUAGGGGGCGAGCGUUGUCCGGAAUUACUGGGCGUAAAGGGCGUGUAGGCGGCCCGUGAAGUCAGGAGUGAAAACCCGGGGCUCAACUUCGGGAUUGCUUUUGAAACCAGCGGGCUUGAGUGCAGGAGAGGGAAGUGGAAUUCCCAGUGUAGCGGUGAAAUGCGUAGAUAUUGGGAGGAACACCAGUGGCGAAAGCGGCUUUCUGGCCUGUAACUGACGCUGAGGCGCGAAAGCGUGGGGAGCAAACAGGAUUAGAUACCCUGGUAGUCCACGCCGUAAACGAUGGGUGCUAAGUGUUGGGGGUAUCGACCCCCUCAGUGCCGUAGUUAACGCAAU
rnacentral:rRNA from 1 species